GAGGCACAGCCCCACACACAGCAUUUCCUCACUCCCUAUUCUCCUGUCCCAGGAAUUGGCAUUUUGGCUCAGCUGUUCCCAAAGGGGACUCCCACAGCACCUCAGUGGAAUGCCCAGCUUAGGGCCUGGAUCUCCUCUCCUGGAAGCAAAAUGUAAAACCUCCCAUUAGGUGACAAACAGCAAAGAGAGGAGAGCCUCAGGCACCUCGUGCUUCUCACCACACAACCUGGAACUGCUAAUGUCUCUGUGGGGGGCUCCUGCUCAACCCUUGAGAAAAUAAAUGGUCAUGAGCACAAGAACUGAAACCCUCUUUGGGGAUACACAUCACAAGAAAACUGAAUGGAAGCAAGAGGUCACAGCAAAUGUCAAACACAAGAGAGCUGUUCAAUUAAGGGCAACCUUACAAAAUCCAAACCGUUACCAACAGCAGCCUGGACGUCAUCCUUGCCCCAGCAAAGCCACCACCCUGACAGAAGCUAUUACACAAGAGUCUGCACUUGAAAACUGCCAAGCUUUAAUCUUCAAUGAAGAGAAAUGAAUGUAUUCUCUUGAGAAACAAUUCUGCCAUAGCAGAGCAGUGGUUUCUUAGGAAUCGAGGGGAAAAAAAAAAAGAAAAAAAAGAAAAAAAAGAAAGAGAAAGAAAGAAAUAAAGACAAGCUAACUUUUUCCA
rnacentral:lncRNA from 1 species